CUGAAUCCCGGGGGCAUUGCCUUCUGGGAAAUGUAGUGUUUGGGAGGGUUCAUAUACCCGAUACCGGCGCACUGCGUCCAAGUCCAUCUUGAAAGAGGCCACGGUCCCGAGAGGGUGCCAGGCCCGUGGUAGGCCGGUGCAGGUGUUGGGUGAACCUCUCCUCAGAGUCAGGUUGCUUGAGAGUGCAGCCCUAAGCGGGUGGUAAACUCCAUCUAAGGCUAAAUACAACCACGAGACCGAUAGCGAACAAGUACCGUGAGGGAAAGUUGAAAAGAACUUUGAAGAGAGAGUUCAAGAGUACGUGAAACCGCUCAGGGGUAAACGGAAAAGACCCGAAAUUUCCGAAGAGGGAGAUUCACGUCUUUUCGCGGGUCCGACUCAUCCGCUCCUCUUCGACGGCCCUGCUCCCGUUCGGACUCGUCCGGUGCGGUGUUGUGGGGUUGCAGAGGACGGUGUGGAGGCCUGCGGCGGACCGCACUUCUCCCUUAGUAGGACGUCGUGACCCGUCCGGCCAUGGUCAUACGGGCGCAGGGUGGAGCCUGUCUGAGGCGCCUCUGGCACUUUCAGGCAGACCCCCGCGUCCCGGCCAUGUGUCACCGGUCGGUAUCGAAUGACGGUGUACGGCCGCUCGACGGUGGAGGAAACUCUGUCCAUGGAGCGCGAUCAGGCCUACGACAAGGUGCCGGGAUGUUCUCAGUCAAGGCGGGCUUCCGUCCGUCUGGCUGCUCUCGGCCCUGUUGGUCGUGGGGCUUCUCGUUAGGCCGAGUGCACUCGUCUACGGCGAACCAGUUUUGGGCUCUUGUCCGACCCGUCUUGAAACACGGACCAAGGAGUUCAGCGUGUUCGCGAGUCAUUGGGUGAUCAAAACCUAAAGGCGUAAUGAAAGUGAAGGGAACUUCUCGUUUCUGAGGGAGGAUGAGUCGGUUACCCGCAAGGGGCCACUCCGCACUCCCGGGGCGUCUCUUUCUCAUUGCGAGUGGAGGCGCACCCAGAGCGUACACGCUGAUACCCGAAAGAUGGUGAACUAUGCCUGGCCAGGACGAAGCCAGGGGAAACCCUGGUGGAGGUCCGCAGCGAUUCUGACGUGCAAAUCGAUCGUCGGAGCUGGGUAUAGGGGCGAAAGACCAAUCGAACCAUCUAGUAGCUGGUUCCCUCCGAAGUUUCCCUCAGGAUAGCUUGUGCUCAAGUGAAAGAGUCUCAUCCGGUAGAGCGAAUGAUUAGAGGCCUUGGGGUCGAAACGACCUCAACCUAUUCUCAAACUCCAAAUAGAUGAGAACUCCGGCUUACUUGGAAAUUUUCAUGAAGCCGGGGGCUUUGGAUCAGAGUGCCAAGUGGGCCAAUUUUGGUAAGCAGAACUGGCGCUGUGGGAUGAACCAAACGUCGAGUUAAGGCGCCUAAAUCGUCGCUCAUGUGAAACCAUGAAAGGCGUUGGUUGCUUAAGACAGCAGGACGGUGGCCAUGGAAGUCGGAAUCCGCUAAGGAGUGUGUAACAACUCACCUGCCGAAGCAACUAGCCCUGAAAAUGGAUGGCGCUGUAGCGACGAUGCCUAUACUCGACCGUCAACGGCAAAUGUGGCUGGGCGGGUGACCGUCUGGCCGUUACGCCUUGACGAGUAGGAGGGCCGCGGCGACGUGCGCAGAAGGGUCUGGGCGUGAGCCUGCCUGGAGCCGUCGUCGGUGCAGAUCUUGGUGGUAGUAGCAAAUACUCCAGCGAGGCCCUGGAGGACUGAUGUGGAGAAGGGUUUCUUGUGAACAGCUGUUGCACAAGAGUCAGUCGGUCCUAAGCCCUAGGAGAAAUCCGAAGCGAUGGGUUGCCGUUAACUUACUCAGUAUAGUGGAGGCACCCUUCUGGGCGAAAGGGAAUCCGGUUCCUAUUCCGGAACCUGGCAGUGGAACCGUUCCAAUUCGGGCCCUCUGAGGACUCGUCAGGGCAACCUGAAUAGACCCGGAGACGCCGGCGGGAGGUUGGGGGAGAGUUGUCUCUUCUCUAUAAGCGAUCGAGUUCCCUGGAAACUUCUAGCAAGGAGAUAGGGUUUGGAUCGCGAAGAGCACUGCAGUUACGGCAGUGUCCCAAUCUUCCCCCCGGACCUUGAAAAUCCGGGUGAGGGCCACGAGGAACCCCACGCCAGACCGUACCCAUAUCCGCAGCAGGU
rnacentral:rRNA from 1 species